rnacentral:lncRNA from 1 species
GCGUGUAAUCCACGGCGAAAGGCCCUGUACAGCGCUAUUUCUCCUGCCAUGGAGGUGGUAAAGAGCCUGGCAGCCCUGCUGAAGGAUUCACCAGCUUCUCUCAUUGAGAAGGAGGAGGAUCAUGUCCAG